UCGUGCUUUACAUAUCGUCUGAGGAGAACAAAAAAUGUCGUUAGUUUUUGGAAUUAUGUCAUCAGUUCAUUUAUCUGAUGAUUUUUGCAGAUGUUUUUUUUUCUUCCUGGAACAAGACAUCUCGACAUCUUUAUGACAUAAUGGAUUAUUUGUUUAAAAACACGGAUUAAGAGAAAAUUAACUCUGAUUCAUUACAGGAUCAGCUGUGCAAGGUUCGAAAAGGGGAUUCAAGGCUCCGAUUCAAUCUGAGGAAAAUCCAAGGGGCCAAAAUGGAUGGAUCAUAUUUGAGGACAGAUCAUACAGACUAUCUCUGUUGGAUGGCGACAUUGAGGACCAUAGCCAUCAAAACUCAGUCCACCUUGAAUCACUGAGGGCACCUAUUCAAUGUGUGGAAAAUCCAAGGGGCCAAAAUGGAUGCGUCAUAUUUGAGGACAGAUCAUACAGACGACCUCUGUUGGAUGCCAACAUCGAGGACGAUGGCCAUCAAAACCCAGUCCAUCCUGAAUCACUGAGGGCUCCUAUUCAAUGUCAGGAAAAUCCAGAGGGCCAACAUGGAUGCGUCAUAUUUGAGAGCAGUUCACAGAGUCUACCAUAUGGCCAUCGAAGCUCAGAGCAUCAUCAAGAUAAUAUAUCACCAAGGGUUUCAGUUCAGUGUCAGGAGGAUCAGCAUGUGCUGCAUGGAUUAAUCGAUCAAUUAAACCAUCUCAUACAACCUCUUGUGGAAGAAGACAGUGAGGAUGAGUGGAUCCAUGAAGAUUUUUUAAUUAUGUACAUAACCUGAUAUAUUAAAUGCUAUAUACUGAUUUUGUAUUAAAGUCUUUCAUUUAUGUGUUA